rnacentral:rRNA from 1 species
GAUGAACGCUAGCGGCAGGCCUAAUACAUGCAAGUCGGACGGGAUUCAGGAGCUUGCUUCUGAUGAGAGUGGCGCACGGGUGCGUAACACGUAUGUAACCUACCUUUAUCAGGGGGAUAGCCUCUCGAAAGAGAGAUUAAGCCCGCAUAAAAUCACAGCACAGCAUUGUGUACUGAUCAAAUAUUUAUAGGAUAAAGAUGGGCAUGCGGAACAUUAGCUAGAUGGCGGGGUAACGGCCCACCAUGGCGACGAUGUGUAGGGGAUCUGAGAGGAUGGCCCCCCACACUGGUACUGAGACACGGACCAGACUCCUACGGGAGGCAGCAGUAAGGAAUAUUGGUCAAUGGACGGAAGCCUGAACCAGCCAUGCCGCGUGCAGGAAGACGGCCCUACGGGUUGUAAACUGCUUUUAUACGGGAAUAAACCCAGAUACGUGUAUCUGGCUGAAUGUACUGUAAGAAUAAGGAUCGGCUAACUCCGUG